GAGGAGAAAGAAAUAAGUUAAAGGAAAAAUCCUACAAUGGUAGUUCACUCAGUGCAAUUUGGUCACGCAUCCUUUUAUAGGCAACUAAAUAGAUUGCCGCCACAAAAUGUCUACUGGGGAGGAAAGCUACAGGUAAACAUGGGCUAAAUCACGAGGUGCUUAACUACAAUUCCCACUGAUGUACAGUUGCUCAGCACUUCAGAUUAUUCUAUUAUACUUAUGUUCUUAAAUGGUAGAGAGCAUACAAGAACUGCCAUAGUGGGUCAGACCAAAGGUCCAUCUAGCCCAUUACCCUAUCUUCCGACUGUGGCCAAUGCCAGGUGCCCCAGAGGGAAUGAACAGAACAGGUAAUCAAGUGAUCCAUCCCGUCACCCACUUCUGGCAACACAGAAGAGUUUCACAAACAAAAAUUCUGAAGUCCACACAUAGGCUUCUAAAUAAGGGGCCCAGUUUUCAAAAGUGCUGGUGUCAAUGGGAGAUGCAGGGUGCUCAGCAUUUUUGAAAAAAAAUCAAUUCACUUGUUUUUUCCAAGUCUUGGGUGCUCUGUUGGAGAUGAUGGAAUGUAUUUAACAGGUUGUGUUCCCCUCAGAUGCCUUCUGCAUCGUUAGCCAAUAACUACUCAACUGUUUAACACUCAGACACUUCUUGCCAAAUGUUUAUCUGAUUUAUAGGAGCGUUCAGAAAGUAAAAGACCUAUAGCCCUACAACAGCAUAGGGAGUGAAACAACCUGGGGGGAAAAAAAAACAAAAAAACACUCCAACAAGAAAGGUGUGUUGAUUAAAUGCUCCAACUGCUUAGCUUUACAGUUAACACUACAACACAAUGUAGCAGGAUAUUUUCAUCUAAGCACAUACUUCCCUUUAUUUGUCUCUCUCAUUACCCCCAUCUAUUAUAGAUACGGGGUUUGUGUUUUUAUUGGUUUUUAACCACACACAAACAUGCCUUUGUUGAACUCUACAGUAGGAAGGAAAAUAGCUAUAAGGAAGACAUCUUUCAAGAAAAGACACCACUUUGACUGUAAAAUGAUUUAUACUUGUUAACUAUUCCAAACCUGAACAUUUGAUAUUGUAAAAAAGCAAGCAUAGAGAAUACAUGUUACAUUCAUUACUCAUCAUCAGGUGCCCAAGUGCCUCUUCCUAACUGUCUGGGUUUCCAAAGGACACCGAAGUUAAUUAAUCUGCAUUGAUAUAGCCUUAAACAUCAGGUGCCUAUCCUGUCAAGAAGGAAUCCUCAUACACUCAACACAGCAGCAAAGAAAUGUUUUGUUUUUUAAAAAGUCCAUUUGACAGAUACUACUUCUAAUCAAACAGUAGUACCAUGAGAUUACAGGUGGAUAAGAGGGAGAACAUGAACAACUUCCUAGCCAUCAAAAAAGCCUAUUUUUGAAGUAAAGAACAUUUUAUGGAACAACUGGUUUGUAGCUGAGAUAAAUAUCAAGUCAACUGACAGCAGUUUCCAUUUCAAACAGACAGCAGACAUCAGUUAAGAGCAUGAUAAUUAUGUCACUAAUACCAUCAGAACGGCAAAAUAUGGCUAAAUUUAACCCAAACAUUUAAAUGAGUAACUGAUGAAUUAAAGAUUGUUUACAACAUUAUAAUGGUUUAGAAACUAUAUUUUAAUCCUACUUUAGAUCUUUUUAAUAUAAACAGCCUUUAAGCAGGUAGGAAAGAAAAUAAAGUAUUGAUGGUACUGCUUCCAAGAGGAAAAACAAAACUAUUUUAUUUCAGUUUUAUUCAUGAAGACAAAACCCUUGUGUAUUACAUUUUCUAAUAAAAUUAUCCAGGUUUUGUACCACUUUACAGCAAUAAGACAUUUAUAAAAAAUGCUGUUGCUUAAUUUCAACACAAUACAUGAAAGUGCAUACAUAUUGAAAAGUUCCCUCUGUAGUAAGUUUCACAUGUUAAAAACGUAGAUAUAGUUCUACAUGCUAUACCAUCACACUGAAAAUCUGUUUGUAGAUCUCUAGGACAGUUGUUUUUCAAUAUACAGAAAUACAGUGCUUUGGGCAAGGAUGUCAAAAGCACCUAAAUCUCACUAUCUUUCAGUGAGCUAUCACAGGCCUGGAGCCUAAGUCCCAUUUUAAAAAGUAGAUAAGGUGCUUUUGAAAAUUUUAGCUGUUAAACGCAAUUGGAAUAUAAAUGAUCUAAACCCCAGUAUUUCACACAGUAAAUUGCUUUAUUUGCCUCCCUCACUAAACCCAGUCUCCAAGCACAGAAGGAAAAAUGAGAGAGAGAGAGAGAGCGCGAGCACAUACGCAGGUGGUUAACAGAUGUAGGUCUCCCAGACUAGGAGGUUCCAAGACAAUCCCCCUUUUCAUAGAGAACACCCUGCCAGGAGGACCCACACCCAAAUGUGGGGGAAUGGACAGUUGGUUUAACUUGAGCACUACCUACAUCUUUUGAAGUGUCAUAGGGAGCGAAGUGAUCUCUUAAAGAACCAGGACUAAAAGUAUUUGAGCUUUCCCUUCCUCUUUGAACUCCACCAGUGCAGCCAGUGGUUUGCUCCUGAGCUAAGGCUCUGUUCAGCAAGCUGACAGAGAUAUUCUCUAAGUUUCACUUUCCAAAUGGUCUCAGUGUGGAGCCCCACACAGUGAACAUUACAGUAGUCUAGCCUUGAAAUGACAGAGGCAUGGAUAGUUGUACUAAGAUUCACAUAAAACCAUCCAAGUUGCACUUGCCUUGUCAGGUGCAGACGGAAAGUGAUCUUCAUUACAGAUACAGUUGCCUGGAAAUCCAGUAGCAGCCUAGGAAUCUAACAGUAACUCUCAAAUUGAGAAGCUGUUACAAAUUGCAGCUCUUCUUCCUGCUACUGGUCUGCCCUGAGCCUUCCUUCCAAGUCUGCAGCCCCUUACCUCCUAUGUGGUUACUACAUGCAGACAGGUUUGCUGGACAGUAGCACCAGGAGGAAUCAGUGCUGGCAUGUGCUGAGCACUGGUCACAGGGAGGUUUGCAAGGCAGCAGUCAGAGGAGAUAAAUCCCAGCACCUUCCUUCCCUGGCUGCAGCCUUGAAAACCUGCCUGCAGGUGGCACCUUUCUUCCAGGAUAGGUUGCUGAUAAGUCGCACACUACUGCCAAUAUCCAAAUCCUGUUAAUACAGAUGUUAAUGGGAUGGGGUUGAUUUCCAGUAAAACACUGCAAUUAACCAGAAGUUGCAUGAAGCAGUGAAAUUGACAGAAUGACAGCCAGCAACCAAUGUAAAUAAUGCACUGUCUACAGAGACACCUCUUAGCCCUAAUUACACCAACAUGAGAGACGUAGGGUUUGAGUUAUGUCGGUGUAGGCACUUACUUCGCCAAGACCAAGGCUGUAGCCAAUACACUGACAUAGUUCGGUUGAUAUAAGCUGCCCUAAGUUGGCCUAGCUGUGUACUGUAGAUCAGGACUGAGUUAGUCACUGAGCUCUGCGUUCGAGGAGUGGUCCUCUGCUGUACUUGUAGCUCCAAAUUUGCAGUGUGUUGAGGAGAAGAGGAAAGAACAAGACAGAUCCAAGACACUGCAAACUUCCCUGCUCAAACUGCUUUCCCGGCUUCUGUAAAUCCCCAAAGCAUUGCAGAUUAAACGCUUUUAAACUACACCCUUUCAGAACACUGAACUGAUAAAUUUAAAGUCCAGCAAAUAUUUCAAGUAAUGUCUCUGCUCAUUAAUUAUAAAGUAAUAAAGUUCUGCUAGUUAACGUCAAUGCCUUGAUUCCCAGUCCUUUGAUUCAUAUUAGGAAUAGGUUUAUUUGAAAGAUAUUACUGACUGUAGAUGCUGUCAUUCAUCUUUCCACCACCGUUUAAUGUUAUCCUCUCUCAAAACCAAUGUAUGUUGCUGGUUGAUUCAAAUAAUAUUCCACUCCUCCUAAAUUUUUACCAAUCUGCUUCUGGAAAGCAUCCAGUGUAAUACAAUGGAGUAAUCAUUUUGUUCCACAUUCUAGACUGACAUGUAUAUCUGACAGCUGGUCAUCUGCUUAUUUCUGUACUCUUAACAACAACCUGGCCACCAAACUAUUGUGGGAUCAACAAAAGGUAGUGAGCACUAAAUACUUGUUGUCAGAGUCAGGCACAGCAAGGAGAAAACCAAUCAUUGGAAGCCAGCCUAUGCAUUAGAAGAGUUAACUAGCUCCCCACCAUCCCCAUAGCUCAGACAUCACCUCAAGAUG